AUACGAAGGGGGCAAGCGUUGUUCGGAAUAACUGGGCGUAAAGCGCACGUAGGCGGAAUGUUAAGUUAGAGGUGAAAUCCCAGGGCUCAACCCUGGAACGGCCUUUAAUACUGGCAAUCUAGAGACCGAGAGAGGUGAGUGGAAUUCCGAGUGUAGAGGUGAAAUUCGUAGAUAUUCGGAGGAACACCAGUGGCGAAGGCGGCUCACUGGCUCGGUACUGACGCUGAGGUGCGAAAGCGUGGGUAGCAAACAGUAUUAGAUACCCGGGUAGUCC
rnacentral:rRNA from 1 species